AGUCCCGGCAAACUCCGUGCCAGCAGCCGCGGUAAUACGGAGGGGGCAAGCGUUGUUCGGAAUUAUUGGGCGUAAAGGGCAUGUAGGCGGUUCGGUAAGUUAAAGGUGAAAUGCCAGGGCUUAACCCUGGAGCUGCUUUUAAUACUGCCAGACUCGAGUCCGGGAGAGGAUAGCGGAAUUCCUAGUGUAGAGGUGAAAUUCGUAGAUAUUAGGAGGAACACCAGUGGCGAAGGCGGCUAUCUGGUCCGGUACUGA
rnacentral:rRNA from 1 species